rnacentral:rRNA from 1 species
AGAGUUUGAUCCUGGCUCAGGACGAACGCUGGCGGCGUGCCUAACACAUGCAAGUCGAGCGGGGAACGGACGGUAGCUUGCUACUGUUUGUUUCUAGCGGCGGACGGGUGAGUAACGCGUGAGCAACCUGCCUUUAUCAGGGGGAUAACGCAUCGAAAGAUGUGCUAAUACCGCGUAAGACCACAGCUUCACAUGGAGCGGGGGUCAAAGGAGCAAUCCGGAUAAAGAUGGGCUCGCGUCCGAUUAGCUAGUUGGUGAGAUAACAGCCCACCAAGGCGACGAUCGGUAGCCGACCUGAGAGGGUGAUCGGCCACAUUGGAACUGAGAGACGGUCCAGACUCCUACGGGAGGCAGCAGUGGGGAAUAUUGGGCAAUGGGCGAAAGCCUGACCCAGCAACGCCGCGUGAGGGAAGAAGGGUUUCGGCUCGUAAACCUCUGUCCUAUGGGACGAAGGAAGUGACGGUACCAUAGGAGGAAGCCCCGGCUAACUACGUGCCAGCAGCCGCGGUAAUACGUAGGGGGCGAGCGUUGUCCGGAAUGAUUGGGCGUAAAGGGCGCGUAGGCGGCCUGCUAAGUCUGGAGUGAAAGUCCUGCUUUCAAGGUGGGAAUUGCUUUGGAUACUGGUGGGCUGGAGUGCAGGAGAGGAAAGCGGAAUUACCGGUGUAGCGGUGAAAUGCGUAGAGAUCGGUAGGAACACCAGUGGCGAAGGCGGCUUUCUGGACUGAAACUGACGCUGAGGCGCGAAAGCGUGGGGAGCAAACAGGAUUAGAUACCCUGGUAGUCCACGC